GUUUCCGUGGUGUAGUGGUUAUCACAUUCACCUAACACCCGAAGGGUCCCCGGUUCGAAACCAGGCGGAAACA
rnacentral:tRNA from 1 species